GGGAUAUUUUAACCCUGGCUCUGGCAGGAGAGCUCUGACACAGCCCUGCUUCGCUCGCCGGUGCCUCCUGAGAUUCUGCUCAAAAAAAAAAAAUAAAUGGAAACGUCCAAAUUUAUUUCCUCAGCCUCCAGGAGUUUGCAGCAGCAUCAGGAGGCACCAAAUCCCCUCUCGUGGUGCCCAGACCCAGCCUGGCCUUGGGCUGAGCCUAAAUUUGCUUUCUCUGAGUUCAUCUGGAUCUCAGGACUCAGGGAACAAUAAGAAAAUUUCUCUUUUUGAGCCAAUCUCCUUCUGAAACGAGCUCCAGGAGUGGUCAUAGCUGCCAUAAAAAUGCCAUGUGCAAGGGAAUAUAUUUCAUAUCAGGCAAGCAGGCUGGGACGAUACGAUCUGUUUGGGCUUUGAAGGUCCUUUCAGCAGAAACAUCUUCUCCCCCAGGGGUGGAGUCUCCUGGGCAGGACUGCAGGGUAGAAUAAGAAAAUAAGAAAAUAAGAAGAAAAUAAGAAAAUAAGAAAAUAAGAAAAUAACUUUAACCCAUGCUGUAAACCAUUUAUUAAUAUUGAAUAAGUCUCUGCCUUCUUUCAACACAAAUAAAAUAUUACUGCUCUCCAGGCUGAAAUAUGCUGAAAUGGAGCAAAGAUUUCUAUUUUUCCAAAACAAACAGUCUUCAAGUGAGGUCCUUUUGCAAUUAUUUUAGAGAUCUUUUUGUGGAUUGGACGAGGGCCUAAAAAUAAUGUUGUAGAUUUUAAGCUCUGGCAGUAGCAAUAAUUAGAGUGCUGUAACUCAGCUCAAGCACCCCACUUUCCUCUGGGUAUCAGGGCUCCCUUUUUCUCCUGGAUAUUUAGAGCAUUUUAAUG